CCUACGGGUGGCAGCAGUGGGGAAUAUUGGACAAUGGGCGAAAGCCUGAUCCAGCCAUGCCGCGUGUGUGAAGAAGGCCUUCGGGUUGUAAAGCACUUUCAGUGGGGAAGAAAGCCUUGGGGCUAAUACCCUCGAGGAAGGACAUCACCCACAGAAGAAGCACCGGCUAACUCCGUGCCAGCAGCCGCGGUAAUACGGAGGGUGCGAGCGUUAAUCGGAAUUACUGGGCGUAAAGCGCGCGUAGGCGGUCUGAUAAGCCGGUUGUGAAAGCCCCGGGCUCAACCUGGGAACGGCAUCCGGAACUGUCAGGCUAGAGUGCAGGAGAGGAAGGUAGAAUUCCCGGUGUAGCGGUGAAAUGCGUAGAGAUCGGGAGGAAUACCAGUGGCGAAGGCGGCCUUCUGGACUGACACUGACGCUGAGGUGCGAAAGUGUGGGUAGCAAACAGGAUUAGAUACCCUGGUAGUC
rnacentral:rRNA from 1 species